GACAGCAGGUGUCAGCGCCGGGGGAGCCCGACCAGCGCCCCGGAGCCCAGCCCUCAGCACCACCCCGAGCCCGGCCACCCUGAGGUGGAGUGGAGUUUGCAGAACGCCUCUUGCUGCAGCCGGAGACUUACUGAAGCCGGGCCUCGCGGUGUGACAUUCCCGCUGGAAGAAAUGAAUUCUCUUAAGUUCUAAGAUCUUAGUCCAUCGAAGACCAUUCCGGAGUGUGGAUCGUUUACGUGAGGAUGUGAGUCCUAAGUCAUGAAAGACUUCACCUUCCCUUAAAAGCCGCCAUAAGAGAAAAGUCCGAUGACUACUUACUCCAAGUCCAGAAAAUGGGAGCGAUCUGGCUUCUGAGGGCAAUGCUAUGCUGAAGCCGGAGAAGGCAGGAAGCUAAAAAUCGUUAUUUGUCAAAAACUCAGUCUCGACAUGGUUUAUGGUCACCGACGAUUUGCCCUAUUUAUAGGGCUGUAUUUAGAAGUAAGCUAAUCUCGCAAGAUCAGCUUAAACAACACAACAGAAAAGGGGUGUCUGGGUGCUCAUUUCAUCUGCUCUCCAAAUGAGGUGACUAAUACCUUCAAGCGAGCAAGAUUAUUCCUGCACAGAAGCGCACGUCACAUGCCCCAGGACACGAUCACCUGAAAUGAAAAUCCUUUCAUGCAACCGCGUGCGUCACCUGUCAUUGACAUGGGUUCCGAAGGAAAGUGGCAAAGUGCCCGCGUCAAGAGGGAAGAGAGGUUAUCGAGCCUUACCACCAGCCAUGUGUUGCCAUCUCUGAUGUCGCAGCUAACCUCCUCGUUGUAAACAUCAUCCAGCGUGAGGCAGCAGCUCAUCACAAAGAUAGUGACUUUAUCCAAAAUUGGACACAUAAAUGAACACUGUCACCAGAACUCCUCCAGGAGUGAGGUUCAGGUGUGUGUGUUAAAAACUACCAGAACUCAGAAACCCAGCUGACAUCGGCUUCGUGCUCUCUGCAGAAACAGUUGCGUUCAGUAAAUUCAGUGUGAGACGGAAUCUGUUUCUACUUGUACGUUAGAAAUAGAAGGUAUUUUGGGGAAGAGCAUAAUGCUCAACUCCCUUCUUUUUAAAUUUUAUUUUAAAUGAAUUAAAAUAUUUUAAGAUAUUUAUCAGACACAACAGCAUGCCUGGGGCACCGCUGAGGGGGAGUCCGCCUUGCUCAGGCGCUGACCACACCCGAGCCCGGCUUUGGGAUCCCAGGCCAGGGUAGAUUUCCUUGGCGUGCAAGAGUCCACCUGGAGCCUUCAGAGAUCAACUUUUAAUUCCUUCCUUCCACUACUUGCGGCGUGGUGACGGUGGACCUUCUUCUCACGCCCCCUCCUGCUUCUCCAUUGAUGAGACGCUGCUGCCCACGUCGCCUCACCCGGAGAAUAAACUGGUAAGAUACAGCAAAGGUUCUUUUGAACGGUAAAACAUUUAAAAAUGAAUUUGGAGUAUUCAUAUAGUCUAAUGUUGCUGAAUGUGGAAUUUCAUGAGGAGUUUUUGUGGAGCACUCUUGUGGGUAAGGCAGGGCGUUUCAUCGCUGCGGCCACGCCGUGUUCGUCCUCAAGGAUGGCAGGAGGAGACUGAGCUUCGCCUCGGACCGUUGUUCCGUAAAAGGACGAAUCCCCUUUCUUUAUUUCCUAGUCCUCUUUCAAAAAGCACUACUCGCAAAUUGAGUUUUUUUAAGGCUAAAGAAAAAAAAUCCUAAUGGAAAAGUAAAACCUCAACUUCUUGGCCUGAAACCAUGUAACGCUGUCUCGCGGACGGGAGGCGAGCGAGAGGGGGAAAUGUGAGGAGCCCUUAAUACCAUAAGCUCCUCUCGCUGGGAUGUGGCGGUAAUUGCUUUUUAUUUUUUUGUAACAUCUCCUGGAAAUGGUAAUGCUUUCAAGUGAGGAUCAAAGAGAAUGACCCAGGUAAGAAAUAGAUGCAACAUGUAGUUACAUUUCUCAUCCGUCGCCAUGUGCUUCUUGCGGCCACACUUCUAAUCAGAAACACGGCAUAAUGCCCAUCAUUUUGCAAAAUGAGUUGUCACUAAGGUCAGAUGGGAUACUUGGAAACCAGCAAAAAAAUAUGAUUUUGACCGAGGUGUGAAAGGCGAUAGAUGGCUUUCUCGACAG